rnacentral:rRNA from 1 species
UACGUAGGGGGCAAGCGUUGUCCGGAUUUAUUGGGCGUAAAGAGCUCGUAGGCGGUUCCGUAAGUCGGAUGUGAAAACUCGGGGCUCAACCCCGAGACGCCAUCCGAUACUGCGGUGACUUGAGUCUGGUAGGGGAACACGGAAUUCCUGGUGUAGCGGUGAAAUGCGCAGAUAUCAGGAGGAACACCGGUGGCGAAGGCGGGUCUCUGGGCCGAUACUGACGCUGAGGAGCGAAAGCGUGGGGAGCGAACAGG